CCUACGGGAGGCAGCAGUGGGGAAUAUUGCACAAUGGGGGCAACCCUGAUGCAGCGACGCCGCGUGAGUGAAGAAGUACUUCGUUAUGUAAAGCUCUAUCAGCAGGGAAGAAAAUGAUGGUACUUGAGUAAGUAGCCCUGGCUAAUUACGUGCCAGCAGCCGCGGUAAUACGCAGGGGGCAAGCGUUAUCCGGAUUUACUGGGUGUAAAGGGAGCGUAGGCGGCUGUGCAAGUCAGGUGUGAAAGGCGGGGGCUCAACCCCAGGACUGCUCUGGAGACUGGACGGCUGGAGUGCAGGAGAGGGAGGUGGAAUUCGUGGUGUAGCGGUGAAAUGCGUAGAUAUCAGGAGGAACACCGGUGGCGAAGGCGGCUUACUGGACUGUAACUGACGUUGAGGCUCGAAAGCGUGGGGAGCAAACAGGAUUAGAUACCCGAGUAGUC
rnacentral:rRNA from 1 species